GACACGAUCUUUUGGGUUUCCAGGAAACCUCAGUGGUUAAUCAGGAACCCCACUUUUGAGAAGCUUUAAAAAACAACUUUUCUCCUCCUAAGUCCCUGAGGCUCCCAGAUGUGCAGCUCAGACUUUUGGUGGCUUCUCCAGAAAAGUAAAUUCUCUGACACGAAAAGAGUUCUGAAGGCUGGAUUCCCCUUUUAACUUCUUCCGGUCCUAUCUAAAUUGUGACCUGGUUGUUCCCUACUGUCUCACUAGUUUGAUGAUGUUAUUAAUAAAACAAACAAAAAC
rnacentral:lncRNA from 1 species